UACGGAGGGUGCAAGCGUUAAUCGGAAUUACUGGGCGUAAAGCGUGCGCAGGCGGUUUGUUAAGUCCGCUGUGAAAUCCCCGAGCUCAACUUGGGAAUUGCAGUGGAUACUGGCAAGCUGGAGUAUGGUAGAGGAAGGUGGAAUUCCCGGUGUAGCAGUGAAAUGCGUAGAGAUCGGGAGGAACACCAGUGGCGAAGGCGGCCUUCUGGACCAAUACUGACGCUCAUGCGCGAAAGCGUGGGGAGCAAACAGG
rnacentral:rRNA from 1 species